CCGGGCAACGGCGGGCUGCUCUGAGGCGACGCCCUGGCCACGCCCCCUCUCGGCGGUGACCACGCCCUCUCCCGGCGGCGGCCACGCCCCUUCUCGGCGGCGGCCACGCCCCCCCACGUGCUGCCUGGCUCCUGGGGCAGCGCCGGGUGCUUCAGGCCGAGCCGCUGCCCCCGGGGUGGGGGGGACAGGGCCGGGGGGGGUUAUGGGACCCCCCCUUUGGGCACAACCCCUUGAUUUUACCACUGUGGCAUCGCCUGGCGCUGGGGGAAACUAAAAUAACGCGACAUYUAGGCCGACCUGUGCUGAAGAGGGAGCCGGAGGCCAAAUAUCUGUGCUGUAAUGGGCAACGUUUCGCUUGGCAUCCUGUUACGGGAACCCCCAGGAGCCACCGUGACUGUGUCCCUCCGUCGACGUCGCCUGGCGUCCCCGCUUCCCUGCUCCGAGCCGGGGGGCUCCUCGGGAGCCCUCUGGGAGAUGGAAAACUGUCCUGCUCACGGCAGAGCGGCGCUCGGAGAGCCUGGGGCUGCGGGACGGCUGCUUUGGGGACGUCCGGCUCCGCAGCAAUGACCGGCCAGCAGGGACCUGCUUGA
rnacentral:lncRNA from 1 species